GUUGAAGGUUGGGUAACACUAACUGGAGGACCGAACCGACUAAUGUUGAAAAAUUAGCGGAUGACUUGUGGCUGGGGGUGAAAGGCCAAUCAAACCGGGAGAUAGCUGGUUCUCCCCGAAAGCUAUUUAGGUAGCGCCUCGUGAAUUCAUCUCCGGGGGUAGAGCACUGUUUCGGCAAGGGGGUCAUCCCGACUUACCAACCCGAUGCAAACUGCGAAUACCGGAGAAUGUUAUCACGGGAGACACACGGCGGGUGCUAACGUCCGUCGUGAAGAGGGAAACAACCCAGACCGCCAGCUAAGGUCCCAAAGUCAUGGUUAAGUGGGAAACGAUGUGGGAAGGCCCAGACAGCCAGGAUGUUGGCUUAGAAGCAGCCAUCAUUUAAAGAAAGCGUAAUAGCUCACUGGUCGAGUCGGCCUGCGCGGAAGAUGUAACGGGGCUAAACCAUGCACCGAAGCUGCGGCAGCGACGCUGAUGCGUUGUUGGGUAGGGGAGCGUUCUGUAAGCCUGUGAAGGUGUGCUGUGAGGCAUGCUGGAGGUAUCAGAAGUGCGAAUGCUGACAUAAGUAACGAUAAAGCGGGUGAAAAGCCCGCUCGCCGGAAGACCAAGGGUUCCUGUCCAACGUUAAUCGGGGCAGGGUGAGUCGACCCCUAAGGCGAGGCCGAAAGGCGUAGUCGAUGGGAAACAGGUUAAUAUUCCUGUACUUGGUGUUACUGCGAAGGGGGGACGGAGAAGGCUAUGUUGGCCGGGCGACGGUUGUCCCGGUUUAAGCGUGUAGGCUGGUUUUCCAGGCAAAUCCGGAAAACUAAGGCUGAGGCGUGAUGACGAGGCACUACGGUGCUGAAGCAACAAAUGCCCUGCUUCCAGGAAAAGCCUCUAAGCAUCAGGUAACAUCAAAUCGUACCCCAAACCGACACAGGUGGUCAGGUAGAGAAUACCAAGGCGCUUGAGAGAACUCGGGUGAAGGAACUAGGCAAAAUGGUGCCGUAACUUCGGGAGAAGGCACGCUGAUAUGUAGGUGAAGUCCCUCGCGGAUGGAGCUGAAAUCAGUCGAAGAUACCAGCUGGCUGCAACUGUUUAUUAAAAACACAGCACUGUGCAAACACGAAAGUGGACGUAUACGGUGUGACGCCUGCCCGGUGCCGGAAGGUUAAUUGAUGGGGUCAGCGCAAGCGAAGCUCUUGAUCGAAGCCCCGGUAAACGGCGGCCGUAACUAUAACGGUCCUAAGGUAGCGAAAUUCCUUGUCGGGUAAGUUCCGACCUGCACGAAUGGCGUAAUGAUGGCCAGGCUGUCUCCACCCGAGACUCAGUGAAAUUGAACUCGCUGUGAAGAUGCAGUGUACCCGCGGCAAGACGGAAAGACCCCGUGAACCUUUACUAUAGCUUGACACUGAACAUUGAGCCUUGAUGUGUAGGAUAGGUGGGAGGCUUUGAAGUGUGGACGCCAGUCUGCAUGGAGCCGACCUUGAAAUACCACCCUUUAAUGUUUGAUGUUCUAACGUUGACCCGUAAUCCGGGUUGCGGACAGUGUCUGGUGGGUAGUUUGACUGGGGCGGUCUCCUCCUAAAGAGUAACGGAGGAGCACGAAGGUUGGCUAAUCCUGGUCGGACAUCAGGAGGUUAGUGCAAUGGCAUAAGCCAGCUUGACUGCGAGCGUGACGGCGCGAGCAGGUGCGAAAGCAGGUCAUAGUGAUCCGGUGGUUCUGAAUGGAAGGGCCAUCGCUCAACGGAUAAAAGGUACUCCGGGGAUAACAGGCUGAUACCGCCCAAGAGUUCAUAUCGACGGCGGUGUUUGGCACCUCGAUGUCGGCUCAUCACAUCCUGGGGCUGAAGUAGGUCCCAAGGGUAUGGCUGUUCGCCAUUUAAAGUGGUACGCGAGCUGGGUUUAGAACGUCGUGAGACAGUUCGGUCCCUAUCUGCCGUGGGCGCUGGAGAACUGAGGGGGGCUGCUCCUAGUACGAGAGGACCGGAGUGGACGCAUCACUGGUGUUCGGGUUGUCAUGCCAAUGGCACUGCCCGGUAGCUAAAUGCGGAAGAGAUAAGUGCUGAAAGCAUCUAAGCACGAAACUUGCCCCGAGAUGAGUUCUCCCUGACUCCUUGAGAGUCCUGAAGGAACGUUGAAG
rnacentral:rRNA from 1 species